GGCAAGAUGGCCGAGUGGUCUAAGGCGUAGCAUUAAGGAAGAUAUCCUGGAUUGAUCUAGGAAGACCUGCUAUCUUCGGGCGUGGGUUCGAAUCCCACUCUUGUCA
rfam:Tstilago hordei, Th4857-4, WGS project CAGI01000000 data, contig: THOR_scaffold_5.00061